rnacentral:rRNA from 1 species
AUUGAACGCUGGCGGCAGGCCUAACACAUGCAAGUCGAGCGGAUGAAGGGAGCUUGCUCCUGGAUUCAGCGGCGGACGGGUGAGUAAUGCCUAGGAAUCUGCCUGGUAGUGGGGGAUAACGUCCGGAAACGGGCGCUAAUACCGCAUACGUCCUGAGGGAGAAAGUGGGGGAUCUUCGGACCUCACGCUAUCAGAUGAGCCUAGGUCUGAUUAGCUAGUUGGUGGGGUAAAGGCCUACCAAGGCGACGAUCCGUAACUGGUCUGAGAGGAUGAUCAGUCACACUGGAACUGAGACACGGUCCAGACUCCUACGGGAGGCAGCAGUGGGGAAUAUUGGACAAAGGGCGAAAGCCUGAUCCAGCCAUGCCGCGUGUGUGAAGAAGGUCUUCGGAUUGUAAAGCACUUUAAGUUGGGAGGAAGGGCAGUAAGUUAAUACCUUGCUGUUUUGACGUUACCAACAGAAUAAGCACCGGCUAACUUCGUG